GUCCCUAUCGUCUAGCCCGGCCUAGGACACCGGCCUUUCACGCCGGCGACGGGGGUUCGAAUCCCCCUGGGGACG
rnacentral:tRNA from 1 species